GACGAACGCUGGCGGCGUGCCUAAUACAUGCAAGUAGAACGCUGAAGGAGGAGCUUGCUUCUCUGGAUGAGUUGCGAACGGGUGAGUAACGCGUAGGUAACCUGCCUGGUAGCGGGGGAUAACUAUUGGAAACGAUAGCUAAUACCGCAUAAGAGUAGAGGUUGCAUGACAUUUGCUUAAAAGGUGCAAUUGCAUCACUACCAGAUGGACCUGCGUUGUAUUAGCUAGUUGGUGGGGUAACGGCUCACCAAGGCGACGAUACAUAGCCGACCUGAGAGGGUGAUCGGCCACACUGGGACUGAGACACGGCCCAGACUCCUACGGGAGGCAGCAGUAGGGAAUCUUCGGCAAUGGACGGAAGUCUGACCGAGCAACGCCGCGUGAGUGAAGAAGGUUUUCGGAUCGUAAAGCUCUGUUGUAAGAGAAGAACGAGUGUGAGAGUGGAAAGUUCACACUGUGACGGUAUCUUACCAGAAAGGGACGGCUAACUACGUG
rnacentral:rRNA from 1 species